rnacentral:rRNA from 1 species
AAUCAACGCUGGCGGCGUGCCUCAGACAUGCAAGUCGAACGAUUAAAGCUCUCUUCGGAGAGUGCAUAAAGUGGCGCACGGGUGAGUAACACGUAAGUAAUCUACCUUCGAGUGGGGAAUAACGUCCGGAAACGGACGCUAAUACCGCAUAAUGCAGCGGCACCUAAUGGUGACAGUUGUUAAAGGAGCAAUCCGCUUGAAGAGGAGCUUGCGGCAGAUUAGGUAGUUGGUAAGGUAAUGGCUUACCAAGCCUGCGAUCUGUAACCGGUCUUAGAGGACGGUCGGUCACACUGACACUGAAUAACGGGUCAGACUCCUACGGGAGGCAGCAGUCGGGAAUUUUGGGCAAUGGGCGAAAGCCUGACCCAGCAACGCCGCGUGAAGGAUGAAGUAUUUCGGUAUGUAAACUUCGAAAGAAUGGGAAGAAUCAAUGACGGUACCAUUUAUAAGGUCCGGCUAACUACGUGCCAGCCGCCGCGGUAAUAC